GGCGUAGGCGGAAGUGUAUGUCAGAUGUUUAAUCUCGGGGCUCAACCUCGAACUUGCAUUUGAAACUGCACUUCUUGAAUAUUGUAGAGGUAGAUGGAAUUUCCGGUGUAGCGGUGGAAUGCGUAGAUACCGGGAGGAACACCAGUUGCGAAGGCGAUCUACUGGCCAAAUAUUGACGCUGAGGCUCGAAAGCGUGGUAGCGAACA
rnacentral:rRNA from 1 species